rnacentral:rRNA from 1 species
UACGUAGGGUGCGAGCGUUAAUCGGAAUUACUGGGCGUAAAGCGUGCGCAGGCGGUUCGUUGUGUCGGUGGUGAAAGCCCCCGGGCUUAACCUGGGGAAUGGCCAUGGAAACUGGCGAACUGGAGUGUGGCAGAGGGGGGUGGAAUUCCGCGUGUAGCAGUGAAAUGCGUAGAGAUGCGGAGGAACACCGAUGGCGAAAGCAGCCCCCCUGGGCUAGCACUGACGCUCAGGCACGAAAGCGUGGGGAGCAAACAGG